ACAACAACAUUCGGACCGUCGGUCUACCGAGCAAUAUCACCCGCUCGGUGGAAGAUCUGCCCUUCGUCAUUAUU
rnacentral:pre_miRNA from 1 species